UACGUAGGGGGCAAGCGUUGUCCGGAUUUAUUGGGCGUAAAGAGCUCGUAGGUGGUUUGGUAAGUCGGAUGUGAAAUCUCCAGGCUCAACCUGGAGGGGUCAUUCGAUACUGCCAUGACUAGAGGUCGGUAGGGGAGUGUGGAAUUCCUGGUGGAGCGGUGAAAUGCGCAGAUAUCAGGAGGAACACCCGUAGCGAAGGCGGCACUCUGGGCCGAUUCUGACACUGAGGAGCGGAAGCGUGGGGAGCGAACAGG
rnacentral:rRNA from 1 species